ACACCUCUGAAGUAUCAGUUUCAUUUAGAGUCAACGGUGCAGGAAGUACAUCGGAGGACGAAUUUGAUAGUCAAAACUAGAAGCUGAACCACAAUAACCUAAACCUUGAGCACAUGGACCUUUUAACUUUAUUUUUAAUCUUUACGUAGGUGCCGAAGAUUUGGGGUCAAGGUGGCAACAAUGGUUAGGGCGUGCACAAUGGAUCACACGCUAUUCCUGCGAAAGGGACAGAGAUAUCUGCUUUCUCUCUCACUCGUUACUUCUAUUCGGCAACGGAACUCGUUCGAACUAUUUGGUGUGCGUCGUUGGCCAGGCUGAUUUGUGCUGAUCAUUGUUUUUGGUUCUUGGUUGCAAAAAUACGAAUUAGAAGUUUUUAGUAUUUAAGGAAGCGGAAUCGGUGUCACGGCAACAUGAAGAUCAUUCUCGAUAACCGAAAAUUGAACGCUGGUCAGUUAAAAAACUCAUCCGCAAUCAGGGCAUGUUGAUGUAAGGCACCUAAGUCAUAUUUCAGCGUUAGGACAUAUAACCCCAAGAAUGCAUACCUUCCAGGGAUUAGCAAUCUUACAAGAGGUCGAUGCAAAAUUUAGAAGGACUGACGAAAGAAAAAGGAUCUUAAAAGCGAUUGACAAUGACAGGAUGCAGCAUUUAAAAAAGGAUAAUCAAACUACGGAAUAAACCAUUAGGAGAAAUCGAGUAACAAAAUCAGUUGGGACACAAUCCUUAUUUUAAUCUCUGGCAAGAUUAGCAAUGUUUUUAACCUAUUAUUAACAAUAUUUUCGAGAAAGAGACAAUGUUAAGAGGGAAAUCUGCCAUAUUUGCUUUACAAUUAUGCCACAAAUUUCAUUUGGUAAAAAAAAAUUUUCAUAAUUUUUUCUAUUUAACUCUAAAACGAGGUGAAAUAUGCAAGUAACUGAACCAUAAAAAAAUUUACUUUUGUGUGGCUUAUUCAAAGUAAAUUACAAAAAUUUCAAAAAGUCAGUUGCCUAUAUAUCUUUCAUAAUAUUAUUAUAAUAUUAUUGGGUACGAUAGUUGAAGCAGAAUUGAUCAUUACCCAUCUUGACGUUGCCAAAUUUCAAUAAAAUCCGACAAAAUGUAGUUAACAUUCUCGUAACGCGGAACCUAAGCAUUUCAGAUCUGGGUACAUGUGAACUUUUUUUCUUUUUGUUAUAACAAACAAUUAUUAGCUUGUCGAUAAGUUAUGAAAUGGAGAAAUUAUCUUGUGUCAUCUCUCGUUUUACAAAAAAAGUCGUACAUCUACAUUACAUAUUCUUUAAUUGCAUUUCAGAAUAAGAACUUAAGGUUCAUAGAAAACAUCACCGGGUAGAAGUGUGGUCGUAGUUGAAAAGAAACAAUUAUUCGGGAGAUAUCUUUAAAAUAUUUGCACUGAAUUUCUUGCAUUUACGACAUGUGCACGAAUAUAAAACCGACGACUCGUAGCUCCGCAUACAAAAUAACAUUUUCACCGCUCCCGAGCAACGUCACUUAAUGCAAAACGACUCCAUUUACGGAACUAUGUAAAUUAGAUUAUCCCGCGGUCCAUAAAGUUCCCAAAGGUCAGCGACGCAGGACCCAGAACUGUAUAUUCCAAAAUAAUUUUGUCGGUCUAAAAGGCACUUGGUUUUCUGAUCAUUAAACAGGGUUGACAAAUGUUAUAACGUAAAGUUCAGAUAAAUUCCAAUGAUAGUUUCUUUAUUUCAAUUUUCUAGGGUCACACUAAUUUGCAUGCAAUAGGAAGACGAGUUUGAGUGAAUGAAAGUAAUGUGACAGCGGCGUUACAACAGUUUAUUAGAACGAUAAUAAUACAAUACUAUAUACUAAUAUAAUAUAUACUAAUACUUCUCUAUCGAUAACUACCAGUUGGGGCGGGUAAAAAAAUUCAAAUCCUUAAUGUUAGGCAAUGACAUCAUAAAAGAACUAAAUAAUAGGAUUCAAGCUGAAAACAGAGGCUUCUUUGCUCUCAAGCUUUAGUGAAAUGAAAGGAACUUACCACAAAAACUAAACUAAAUCUACAGAAAGCAAUCAUAAAACUUGUAGUAAUAUAUGGUUGCGAGACCUGGACGCUCUAACCAUUGCAAAUGAAGAAGCAGAAGAUAUUUAGAAGGAAGGUGCUGAGGGAGAAUGUUCGGUCCAAACAGAUAAGAACCAACAGCACAAGCACUCAAAGAAGUGUAAAGAUGGCAACACAAUGACAGAAGAAGAACCACGAACACUCAAGCUGGCCUGAAAAUAAUGCUAAAAAGAGUAAGAUAGAGUAAGAGUAGAUAAGUAGAAUUGGCAAAAACCCUCCCAGGGCUGUGAAGGAGAUGACUGUAAUUAUAGAGCCGAGCAAUUAAUCAACUUAAGACUUAUAUGCAGGUAAGGAUAAUAUGAAAAUAGAUAAAUGGUAAUAAAUAAUAAUAAUAAGCGACUCUGCAGUGUUUUCUAGAAUAUUUCUAGAAGCUUCCCACAUUCUUCUAUUUGUCUUGAUUGUU